rnacentral:sRNA from 1 species
UGACUUCUGGUUUGCCGAAGUGGCAUUUAG